GUGCGGUUUAACUGCAAUAUGUU
rnacentral:snRNA from 1 species